AAUGGGUGAAAGUCAAGGAGGUGAGGAGUUUUCUGCAAGCAAUGAAGAACAAGGGUGCCGCUCCAAGAGCUAAGAGUGCCUCCACAUUGAGAAAUGCAGCUCACAGGUUUUCCUCCACAUUACAUUUAAUGAAUGUGUACCACGUGCCCAGAGAUACAAGCAGGAGGAAACAAAAAAAGGAUAAGGUCCAUGGAUGAUCUGAUCAGCAGAGAAUAAUUGCCAUAUGGAAUGAUAAUCGUCCUAACGAAGGGAGAUACAGGGAACACAGCCACGUCCGUUUAUGGAGGUAUUAUGCACGGCCACGCUGGCAGACGACAAGAGUUGGGGCAGACGCUGGAUGGCUCAGA